rnacentral:rRNA from 1 species
GACGAACGCUGGCGGCGUGCUUAACACAUGCAAGUCGAACGGAAAGGCCCUGCUUUUGUGGGGUGCUCGAGUGGCGAACGGGUGAGUAACACGUGAGUAACCUGCCCUUGACUUUGGGAUAACUUCAGGAAACUGGGGCUAAUACCGGAUAGGAGCUCCUGCUGCAUGGUGGGGGUUGGAAAGUUUCGGCGGUUGGGGAUGGACUCGCGGCUUAUCAGCUUGUUGGUGGGGUAGUGGCUUACCAAGGCUUUGACGGGUAGCCGGCCUGAGAGGGUGACCGGCCACAUUGGGACUGAGAUACGGCCCAGACUCGUACGGGAGGCAGCAGUGAGGAAUAUUGCACAAUGGGCGGAAGCCUGAUUCAGCAACGCCGCGUGCGGGAUGACGGCCUUCGGGUUGUAAACCGCUUUCGCCUGUGACGAAGCGUGAGUGACGGUAAUGGGUAAAGAAGCACCGGCUAACUACGUG